rnacentral:rRNA from 1 species
UGGGCGAAAGCCUGAUCCAGCCAUGCCGCGUGUGUGAAGAAGGUCUUCGGAUUGUAAAGCACUUUAAGUUGGGAGGAAGGGCAGUAAGUUAAUACCUUGCUGUUUUGACGUUACCAACAGAAUAAGCACCGGCUAACUUCGUG